AUGUUACAGUAUAAGUUAGACAAUCCCACUACGACUACAGUCUGGAGGGACAGAGAGUGGGUUAUGGUUGGUAGACUGACAACAGUCUGGAGGGACAGAGAGUGGGUUAUGGUUGGUAGGCUGACAACAGUCUGGAGGGAUAGAGAGUGGGUUAUGGUUGGUAGGGUGACAACAGUCUGGAGGGAUAGAGAGUGGGUUAUGGUUGGUAGACUGACAACAGUCUGGAGGGACAGAGAGUGGGUUAUGGUUGGAAGGGUGACAACAGUCUGGAGGGAUAGAGAGUGGGUUAUGGUUGGUAGGGUGACAACAGUCUGGAGGGAUAGAGAGUGGGUUAUGGUUGGUAGACUGACAACAGUCUGGAGGGACAGAGAGUGGGUUAUGGUUGGUAGGGUGACAACAGUCUGGAGGGACAGAGAGUGGGUUAUGGUUGGUAGGGUGACAACAGUCUGGAGGGAUAGAGAGUGGGUUAUGGUUGGUAGGGUGACAACAGUCUGGAGGGAUAGAGAGUGGGUUAUGGUUGGUAGGGUGAUAACAGUCUGGAGGGAUAGAGAGUGGGUUAUGGUUGGUAGGGUGACAACAGUCUGGAGGGACAGAGAGUGGGUUAUGGUUGGUAGGGUGACAACAGUCUGGAGGGACAGAGAGUGGGUUAUGGUUGGGAGACUGACAACAGUCUGGAGGGAUAGAGAGUGGGUNNNNNNNNNNNNNNGGGUUAUGGUUGGUAGGGAGACAACAGUCUGGAGGGAUAGAGAGUGGGUUAUGGUUGGUAGGGUGACAACAGUCUGGAGGGAUAGAGAGUGGGUUAUGGUUGGUAGGGUGACAACAGUCUGGAGGGACAGAGAGUGGGUUAUGGUUGGUAGGGUGACAACAGUCUGGAGGGAUAGAGAGUGGGUUAUGGUUGGUAGGGUGACAACAGUCUGGUGGGACAGAGAGUGGGUUAUGGUUGGUAGGGUGAUAACAGUCUGGAGGGACAGAGAGUGGGUUAUGGUUGGUAGGGUGACAACAGUCUGGAGGGACAGAGAGUGGGUUAUGGUUGGGAGGGUGACAACAGUCUGGAGGGACAGAGAGUGGGUUAUGGUUGGUAGGGUGACAACAGUCUGGAGGGACAGAGAGUGGGUUAUGGUUGGUAGGGUGACAACAGUCUGGAGGGAUAGAGAGUGGGUUAUGGUUGGUAGGGUGACAACAGUCUGGAGGGACAGAGAGUGGGUUAUGGUUGGUAGACUGACAACAGUCUGGAGGGACAGAGAGUGGGUUAUGGUUGGUAGGGUGACAACAGUCUGGAGGGACAGAGAGUGGGUUAUGGUUGGUAGGGUGACAACAGUCUGGAGGGACAGAGAGUGGGUUAUGGUUGGUAGGGUGACAACAGUCUGGAGGGACAGAGAGUGGGUUAUGGUUGGUAGGGUGACAACAGUCUGGAGGGACAGAGAGUGGGUUAUGGUUGGUAGGGUGACAACAGUCUGGAGGGACAGAGAGUGGGUUAUGGUUGGUAGGGUGACAACAGUCUGGAGGGACAGAGAGUGGGUUAUGGUUGGUAGGGUGACAACAGUCUGGAGGGAUAGAGAGUGGGUUAUGGUUGGUAGGGUGACAACAGUCUGGAGGGAUAGAGAGUGGGUUAUGGUUGGUAGACUGACAACAGUCUGGAGGGAUAGAAAGUGGGUUAUGGUUGGUAGACUGACAACAGUCUGGAGGGAUAGAGAGUGGGUUAUGGUUGGUAGGGUGACAACAGUCUGGAGGGACAGAGAGUGGGUUAUGGUUGGUAGGGUGACAACAGUCUGGAGGGACAGAGAGUGGGUUAUGGUUGGUAGACUGACAACAGUCUGGAGGGAUAGAGAGUGGGUUAUGGUUGGUAGACUGACAACAGUCUGGAGGGACAGAGAGUGGGUUAUGGUUGGUAGGGUGACAACAGUCUGGAGGGACAGAGAGUGGGGUAUGGUUGGUAGGGUGGUACAGUCUGAUUAA
rnacentral:lncRNA from 8 species